rnacentral:rRNA from 1 species
GACGAACGCUGGCGGCGUGCCUAAUACAUGCAAGUCGAGCGAAGUUUUUCUGGUUCUUGCACUAGAAAAACUUAGCGGCGAACGGGUGAGUAACACGUAAAGAACCUGCCUCAUAGACUGGGACUACUAUUGGAAACGAUAGCUAAUACCGGAUAACAGUAUUUCUCGCAUGAGAGAUAUUUAAAAGUUGGUUAUGCUAACACUAUGAGAUGGCUUUGCGGUGCAUUAGCUAGUUGGUGGGGGAAAGGCACACCAAGGCGACGAUGCAUAGCCGACCUGAGAGCGUGAUCGGCCACACUGGGACUGAGACACGGCCCAGACUCCUACGGGAGGCAGCAGUAGGGAAUCUUCCGCAAUGGGCGAAUGCCUGACGGUGCAACGCCGCGUGAGUGAAGAAGGAUUUCGGUUCGUAAAGCUCUGUUGUUAGGGAAGAAUGGAUAUGUAGUAACCAGACAUGUAAGUGACGGUACCUAGACAGAAAGCCACGGCUAACUACGUG